GAAAAUCUGUCGGAACAGCCAUGGAGACCCUCCAUCGAUUCUCCUUUCGUCUCCUCCCGAUUUCCCUCGCCGUAAAAUGCCUCGAUGCAAAUCCAAUAGAAAUGAAAUCAUGCCUCAGGCUCACCACUCUGUCUCCGAUAUCUCGUUUUGAUCGAAUGCCCAUAUCCGUACCCGAAUUUAUAACCUCGAACCCCCACUUCACUGCCCGGAAAUCUUUCUCUUCCUCUUCAAAUGCCAAAGCGGGUUGGUUUCUGGGUCUUGGAGAGAAGAAGAAAACGAGCUUGCCGGAUAUUGUUAAAGCGGGUGACCCGGUUUUGCAUGAACCGGCUCGAGAAGUUGCCCCGGAGGAAAUUGGGUCAGAAAGGAUACAGACGAUAAUUGAUGAUAUGGUUAAGGCUAUGAGGAUGGCUCCUGGUGUUGGACUCGCUGCUCCUCAGAUUGGAAUCUCACUUAGGAUCAUAGUUUUGGAAGAUACAAAAGAAUAUAUUGGUUAUGCACCGAAGGAAGAGACCAAAGCACAGGACAGACGCCCUUUUGAUCUUCUGGUGAUCCUGAACCCAAAGCUUACCAAGAAAAGCAACAGGACUGCAUUUUUCUUUGAAGGGUGUCUAAGUGUUGAUGGAUUCAGAGCAGUGGUGGAGCGAUAUCUUGAUGUCGAGGUUACAGGUUUGAAUCGUUAUGGCCAGCCCAUCAAAGUGGAUGCUUCUGGUUGGCAGGCACGUAUCUUACAGCAUGAGUGUGAUCAUUUGGAUGGAACUCUUUUUGUUGAUAAGAUGGUGCCAAGAACGUUUAGAACCGUAGAAAACUUGGACUUGCCACUUGCUGAGGGGUGCCCCAAGCUUGGUGCCCGCUAGUUCGUGCAAAGCUACAAAGAUGGUCCGAAGAUUGCAAAAAAAGAGGGGUUUAAGAUCCAUUUCAUCUUUAUGCAGUUACCUUUGAAAUCUUUCCCUUGUUUUCAUAUGUUUUUCUUCUUGGAAAAAAGGGAGAAAAACAUAUGUUUGUCUCAUUCUAUACUUUGCAGCAUGAUUUAAAAUGUUCAAAUUUUAUUUAUUUUUAUUAGUUAGUAGUGUAGCAUUUAGUUUCAUUUUUAAUAAAAAGCAUCUACUCUCUCUCUCAAAAAAAAAAUA
rnacentral:misc_RNA from 1 species